rnacentral:rRNA from 1 species
UGAGAGUUUGAUCCUGGCUCAGGACGAACGCUGGCGGCGUGCCUAAUACAUGCAAGUCGAACGAAGCUUUCUUUCACCGAAUGCUUGCAUUCACCGAAAGAAGCUUAGUGGCGAACGGGUGAGUAACACGUAGGCAACCUGCCCAAAAGAGGGGGAUAACACUUGGAAACAGGUGCGUCGUAAAAUUCUGUUGUCAGAGAAGAACGUGCGUGAGAGUAACUGUUCACGUAUUGACGGUAUCUGACCAGAAAGCCACGGCUAACUACGUGCCAGCAGCCGCGGUAAUACGUAGGUGGCGAGCGUUGUCCGGAUUUAUUGGGCGUAAAGGGAACGCAGGCGGUCUUUUAAGUCUGAUGUGAAAGCCUUCGGCUUAACCGAAGUAGUGCAUUGGAAACUGGAAGACUUGAGUGCAGAAGAGGAGAGUGGAACUCCAUGUGUAGCGGUGAAAUGCGUAGAUAUAUGGAAGAACACCAGUGGCGAAAGCGGCUCUCUGGUCUGUAACUGACGCUGAGGUUCGAAAGCGUGGGUAGCAAACAGGAUUAGAUACCCUGGUAGUCCACGCCGUAAACGAUGAGUGCUAAGUGUUGGAGGGUUUCCGCCCUUCAGUGCUGCAGCUAACGCAUUAAGCACUCCGCCUGGGGAGUACGGUCGCAAGACUGAAACUCAAAGGAAUUGACGGGGGCCCGCACAAGCGGUGGAGCAUGUGGUUUAAUUCGAAGCAACGCGAAGAACCUUACCAGGUCUUGACAUCUUCUGACAAUUCCAGAGAUGGAACGUUCCCUUCGGGGACAGAAUGACAGGUGGUGCAUGGUUGUCGUCAGCUCGUGUCGUGAGAUGUUGGGUUAAGUCCCGCAACGAGCGCAACCCUUAUUGUCAGUUGCCAUCAUUAAGUUGGGCACUCUGGCGAGACUGCCGGUGACAAACCGGAGGAAGGUGGGGAUGACGUCAAAUCAUCAUGCCCCUUAUGACCUGGGCUACACACGUGCUACAAUGGACGGUACAACGAGUCGCUAACUCGCGAGGGCAAGCUAAUCUCUUAAAGCCGUUCUCAGUUCGGAUUGCAGGCUGCAACUCGCCUGCAUGAAGUCGGAAUCGCUAGUAAUCGCGAAUCAGCAUGUCGCGGUGAAUACGUUCCCGGGCCUUGUACACACCGCCCGUCACACCAUGAGAGUUUGUAACACCCAAAGUCGGUGGGGUAACCUUUUGGAGCCAGCCGCCUAAGGUGGGACAGAUGAUUGGGGUGAAGUCGUAACAAGGUAGCCGUAGGAGAACCUGCGGCUG